rnacentral:lncRNA from 13 species
AUGCUGUGCAGAAGCAAGGGCUGGCAUUGUGUCCACGGGAUGGCGGCAAGCCAGUUGCUGAUGCUGGAGCCACAGCCUCUGCGUCCUUCUUGGUGGGAGUGGCGGGCCGGUGGGAGAGCAUCCCUGGCAGAGAGGAUUACCCCAACGGCACCUGGCUGGGCGACGAGAACAACCCCGAGAUGCGGGUGCGCUGCGCCAUCAUUCCCUCCGACAUGUUGCACAUCAGCACCAACUGCCGCACAGCCGAGAAGAUGGCGCUCACGCUGCUGGACUACCUCUUCCACCGCGAGGUGCAGGCCGUGUCCAACCUCUCGGGGCAGGGCAAGCACGGGAAGAAGCAGCUGGACCCGCUCACCAUCUACGGCAUCCGGUGUAAGUCGAGCCCUGCCUCGGGGAGCUGGGUCAGGACCCGUGUUUCAGUGCUGGGCACGCUGGCGUCAGUAGGGCCGGCCUGGGGCUGCGUUUCUCCGGGCGGUUUGGGGAUCCCUGCUUGAGGGGAUGGGUGCCCGGUUGACUCUGAUGUGUGUAUUAUGCAUGGCGUGCCUGCGCCACGGUAUCUCAUGUACCCCAUAAUAUUUUACACCUACAGUGUACCCUUCAGUUAGGGUGAAAACCUCCUCGCCUCCUGUCCUCAGGCCACUCUUGAGGAAGUGGGAGGAAAGCCGGGGCCUUCCCUGCGGUCCUGCUGGCUGUGUUGACACAGGCGCCGAGCCUCUCCGGAGCGGGUGGAGUGCGCCUGCCUCCUUCCUUCAGAGAGGGCUGGGGCUUGGCAGCCGUGCCAGGGCCUUGGCGCUGACCUGGCUGUGAUGGAGCCAGAAGAGCUCCAGAGCUCGAUUUUCAUGCCCAGCCCAGCCUGCGAUGUUUCCCUCCCCUCUGAAGAGUGGGACUUGCUCCAGUGGCGAUGGCAGUGUUGUCCUUCGAUGGCGUUUGACAGCUGCUCAGGUCCUCCUUGCCAGCGUCCACGGUCCAUCUGCUCCACAGAGCCCAGCUGCUCCAGAAGCCGCCUGCCUGGCUUCUAAAGUGAAGCAUUAGCAAGCGCAGGAGACACGGGGCACCUGGUGGGAGGGGGCGUCUUCCGGAAAUCCGGGUUCUAGAGACUUGCCACAGGGGAGCGUGAAGUGUGAAUCUGAUCUCCCAAUUAGGCGAGCAAGGUGAUGUACUUUGCGUCCAGGUCUCACCAUGCCGGGGGCCGCUGUUCCUAUAGGAGAGAGCCUUGCUCCUCUGCGAAGCUCAGUGAGGCCCUUGAGCCUCUGUCAGGAGCGGUAAGCAGUGGGAGGGCUCGGCUGUUGAGUAGUUGCUGUGGAAAUGGGGUCUGAAUGAGACUGAGGGGUUGUGCUAACUGCAGGUUUUCCUGGAAGCUGCUGAAAGGUGGUGCCCACGUCCUGCCCACACACGUGAGCAGGUCGAGGCAUCUUCCCAUUGCCAUGUCUCGGCCCAGGCGUGU